UUUCAAGACUAAGACUAAGUUCUGUGGUGGAAAAGGUGUGGAAGAUAAAGGACGUUCAAUUCUAAAUACUGAACCUGAACAAGAACAGCAGGAAAAACUGUCCUCACUGAGGAAUUCUAGCAGUUUGUAGACACACAAUACCAAGUCUGUUUUAAGUUUGGCUGGUGUCUUCCAGAAGAUGCAUAAUUAUUUGGAGUCUUCUGAAUGAAAAUAUGCCAGAAGAGGAAAUAGUGAAUUGGUUGUAGAACCCAUGUGCUUUCAUAUAAUGACAUUAGAGUGAUGGAGAUCUUUCCUAACUGGUUAGAGUGACAAAAAACACAGAAAGCAGCAUGGAGUAUGUACUGGACAGAGGAACUCAGUGGAGACUCUGAGUUGCCAAUGGUUCUUUUUCUUGCUUACCUGAUUUAAAAGCCCUUCUUCAAAUCCCACAGAGGAGGAUCUCUUCUAGAGCUUCUACCUUUUUACAGUAUGGAGAGCCACGGCUUUGGCUGMCAGAGCAAGCAAUAGAGUGACCUGCG